AGUGAACGCCGGCGGUAGGCCUAACACAUGCAAGUCGAACGGCAGCACAGUAAGAGCUUGCUCUUACGGGUGGCGAGUGGCGGACGGGUGAGGAAUACAUCGGAAUCUACUUUUUCGUGGGGGAUAACGUAGGGAAACUUACGCUAAUACCGCAUACGACCUACGGGUGAAAGCAGGGGAUCUUCGGACCUUGCGCGAUUGAAUGAGCCGAUGUCGGAUUAGCUAGUUGGCGGGGUAAAGGCCCACCAAGGCGACGAUCCGUAGCUGGUCUGAGAGGAUGAUCAGCCACACUGGAACUGAGACACGGUCCAGACUCCUACGGGAGGCAGCAGUGGGGAAUAUUGGAGAAUGGGCGCAAGCCUGAUCCAGCCAUACCGCGUGGGUGAAGAAGGCCUUCGGGUUGUAAAGCCCUUUUGUUGGGAAAGAAAAGCAGCAGGUUAAUACCCCGCUGUUCUGACGGUACCCAAAGAAUAAGCACCGGCUAACUUCGUG
rnacentral:rRNA from 1 species